AUAGAUUGGACAUAAAAUUUGAUAUCCCUAUAUUGAAAGUCAUGAUAAUAUCUACGAAUUUAAGAGAGAAUAAGACAAUUGAUAAAAUAUAGUUUUAUUUCAUUUCAUUAACAUCAGUUUAAAAUACAAAAUCUAAACAACAAGUACCGUGAAAUUCGAAAAACUGAAGAAAAAAAAUUAAUUAUGUGACAUUAACACAAUAUCUUAUUGAAAGCUCGUGGAACGUCCUAACAAGCAUUUAAGAAUCCUAACCUAAUUUACAGAAUUGAAUAGUUUUACAGGUAACCCACUAACACAAUUACAAUAACCUGAUUUACAGAUUUGUAUAAAACCAAACAUGCACAAAUCUUCAGGACAAUCUUUCUUUUUUCGGCAUCGAAUAGUUGAACCUGUAGUGAAAAAAGAGACAAAAAAUAAAUAAUAUUACUAACAUGGAUAAUUUAUGGUGUAUGAAGUAAAUGAAGAAAUUUGAAAAAAAAUGGCUCACUGUAAUCACCGUUCGUUGCAAUAAGAAAUAGAGAAAGAAAAAUAAUCACAACUUUAAUAAUUUUAGUCAUAUUUUGUUUUGCCUUAUAUAUGUAAUAUGAUUUUACCACCUUAUUAUUUAUAAAAUUCUAGCUCUUAUUACAUCAAUUUAAUAUUUUAUAUCCAUUUAUAGAGCCGUAAGUUGACGCAUAGUACUUAUCGAGUCUGAAAAAAAUACGUUAUAAUAUUUUUAAUAAGUGUUAAAU
rnacentral:lncRNA from 1 species